GAUCAAGGUGCCUGUGAACUGGAAAGAGAAUCCAAGGGGUGGGAUAACGACAUUGAUUGAUAUGCCCCUCAACAGAUAUCUUUCCACAGUGUUUGUAGAACACUAAAACUCAAGAGUCUGGUCAGUGAAGUUUGCAUUGUAAAAAGCGCUACAUAUCAGAUGCUUCCAUGUGAGAAAAAAGGUCUUGUUGAAGUGAUGCCUAAUGAAGCUCUUGCUAAAUAGAAAAUUACUUCUUAUCUAUGUAAACAGUUUAUGUAUUGCACUAGUAUUUUCGUGAAUGUAUUAUUGAAUAUAAUUGUAUUUGAUAUUGAAAUAUAAUUAGAUUGUGUUGGAUAUGAAUAUAAUUUGGUGUUGUGCAA